AUGGGCGCAGCCUGAUGCAGCGACGCCGCGUGCGGGAUGACGGCCUUCCGGUUGUAAACCGCUUUUGAUCGGGAGCAAGCCUUCGGGUGAGUGUACCUUUCGAAUAAGCACCGGCUAACUACGUGCCAGCAGCCGCGGUAAUACGUAGGGUGCAAGCGUUAUCCGGAAUUAUUGGGCGUAAAGGGCUCGUAGGCGGUUCGUCGCGUCCGGUGUGAAAGUCCAUCGCUUAACGGUGGAUCUGCGCCGGGUACGGGCGGGCUGGAGUGCGGUAGGGGAGACUGGAAUUCCCGGUGUAACGGUGGAAUGUGUAGAUAUCGGGAAGAACACCAAUGGCGAAGGCAGGUCUCUGGGCCGUUACUGACGCUGAGGAGCGAAAGCGUGGGGAGCGAACAGGAUUAGAUACCCUGGUAGUCCAAGGGCGAAUUC
rnacentral:rRNA from 1 species